ACAAAGGUCAUGGAAGAUAUCACAGUAAAGUUAAGACGGAGCCAGUGCUUGCUGCUGGUGGAGACAGUUGCUUAACAGUCAGACCACUGAGUCAAGCAGGCUGGCUGGUGACUUGUUUGGAGCCUCAUGUUUCUGCCUUUCUCACAGAGAAACAAGCAUCCCCGCUUCUACCAACACUGGAUGGGCUCUGAUUCUUUGAGGCUUCGUCUUUCCUGUGCUGCCUCCGUUC
rnacentral:lncRNA from 1 species